rnacentral:rRNA from 1 species
UCUGGGUGAUUUAGUAAAGGGGAAACACCUGUUCCCAUUCCGAACACAGCAGUUAAGUCCUUCUACCCCCACAAUAGUUUUUCGUUUGAAAUGCUAAGAUAGGGGUUUGCCCAGAA